GUGAGCAAUCUGCCUUUCAGAGGGGGAUACCCCUUGGAAACGAUCGUUAAUACCGCAUAACAUAAUUGAACCGCAUGAUUUGAUUAUCAAAGAUUUAUCGCUGAAAGAUGAGCUCGCGUCUGAUUAGCUAGUUGGUAAGGUAACGGCUUACCAAGGCGACGAUCAGUAGCCGGACUGAGAGGUUGAUCGGCCACAUUGGGACUGAGACACGGCCCAGACUCCUACGGGAGGCAGCAGUGGGGAAUAUUGCACAAUGGAGGAAACUCUGAUGCAGCGAUGCCGCGUGAGGGAAGAAGGUUUUAGGAUUGUAAACCUCUGUCUUCAGGGACGAAAAAAGACGGUACCUGAGGAGGAAGCUCCGGCUAACUACGUGCCAGCAGCCGCGGUAAUACGUAGGGAGCGAGCGUUGUCCGGAAUUACUGGGUGUAAAGGGAGCGUAGGCGGGAUCGCAAGUCAGAUGUGAAAACUAUGGGCUUAACCCAUAAACUGCAUUUGAAACUGUGGUUCUUGAGUGAAGUAGAGGUAAGCGGAAUUCCUAGUGUAGCGGUGAAAUGCGUAGAUAUUAGGAGGAACAUCAGUGGCGAAGGCGGCUUACUGGGCUUUAACUGA
rnacentral:rRNA from 1 species